CAUGUAAUUUAUGAUGGGAAACACAUGGCCAUCACCUGACAUCGCCAGUGGCAGGAGAGAUGAUCUCAUAAUUGAUUUUAAUUUCUCCCCCCCACCCGUCAUGAAAGUUAAUGGACCCUUUGCCCCUCUUUUUUCAGACGGCCGCGCAAAACGUCAUACAAAAGUAUAAUGAAACGAAUCAAAACCCGGCGCUAACAAGUUCAAAUCACAUCAAGACCGCGGACUCAUCAAGAGUCAGCCGGUGGAUCACCCACACUGAAGCGGCAGCAGGAGUUUUCCUCUUAAAUGGUUGACAUCAGUCGCAUGAUUGAAGUAAAUGCGGAUUUAGACAGGGCAUCUGAGGCAGACCAGGUGCACCCCUGUGCACGUUUCCUUGCCGAGGGACAAAUGGCUGAGAGGGGGGAAUCCAGGUUAAGAAAGCAAAUAGCCAAACCAUGGAUUAGGUCCAACCCGUCGCAUUUCCAGCUCCACACCUUGGUUAAGUGAAAAGGAUGAAGGAAAACCACGCAGGAUUUUAAAUUUUCCUGAAACCGGAUUCCCCACCUCUGAAACGAUAUUGCUGCAUGGAUUCUCCGGAGUCUCCACGAUUGGAUCUAUUUGGCUCUCGCUCAUCCUGACCUCCACUUGCUUCUGCAUUUUGAUGGCACUGAAAAAUAUACAGACAGAAGAGCUGGUAUUCAGGAGUGAUUGUGUUAUUCACUCUGAGGGUUUUGGUUCAGUUUCAGUACAUAUCUACUUUAUUUAAUACUUUGUUCUAAGAGCUUUGGUUCUGCUGCUAUUCUGUUUUUUUCUGUUUUGCUUCCUUCCGUUAGUUUUUGAAUCUAUAUCUGAGUUUAGAUUACAAGUUGUCUUAUACAUUUCUAGUUUUGUUUAGAGUCACUGACCUCGUCUCCAGCUGUCAUGUUACCACCUCUUCUGUCUCUUGUUAAUGUGAAUAAGGCCAAUAAUAUAGCAUUUCCAGUAUUUGUACUGUGUGAUUUCCUCGGUUCUUUUCAGAUCUUUCUGGCUGAUUUCAUAUCUGCCUUAUUUAAGUUUCUGCCCCUUAGUUCUGCUUAGUGACUGUUCAGUCUUUUUGUUUCCCCUUGGAAACCAAACUCAUAAAAAGUUUCUUCUAAAUAUUCAUUGCAGCACUGUGAUAAAGUGUCAUGCUAUUAACCUGCAUUAUUUUUAAGAUCAUGGAAGAUAACAGAAGACGUUUAAUGGAUGACUUUAACUAUCUUAAACCAAUACUUUACAUUAGAAUGGUUUGUUUAGGUUGCGCCGCCAUUUACUUUAGUUGAAGUGAUUUAAACUUUUAUAUUUUCUCCUCCAUUUUGUCAUUGAAGAGGUGAUGGAAAUAAUAACUGAAUCGAUUCAACUUUGUAGCUUUGCUCCUUCAAUGUGGGCAAAGAUGUUAAAUGUUUCAGGACAACAAUUUAAUAAAACACCUGCCAUUCUGAAAAAACAAACAAACAGAAUUUGGUUUUCUAUGUAUGCCUAAGUUUCCCUUUGCAUGAACGCCUGGUGCUGUGUUUUUGUUUUUAGCUGUGUUUCUUUUCUGAAGAAAGCCUUAAAAGGAGCUUCUGCUCCUCGGAACUAUUUCUGCUGUUUUUGUUUUUCAUAGUACUUUAACUGUGUUUCUCUUUCAGAUGAAACCAGUAACAAGAGCCAUUGCUGCCAUGAACUCUCUUUAUUCUUCUUGUCUUUUCAAUACAAACUCCUCAUGGACCGGUGCUUUAUUGCACUCUGCGUCUCUUCCUCUCAGCCAGGCUGGGCUGAUGGCUGCUCAUAAUGAUUUGCUGAAUGCUGCUUCUUGUCAUUCCUGUCCACUGUCGCCACAUGCUUAGUUACUAAAGUAAAGUAAAAAUCACUGCAAUGUCAACUAUGCAGUAGUCUAAGUUCCCCAGCUUUCAUUUUACCAUUAAAUGAUUUACUGGGUUUGACUGUAGUAUUAUUAGAAUGG